GCUUGUCCCAGUCUAGGUACAUGAAUUUUAUGUUGAAGGGGUUCAACAUGAAUGAGUAUAAAAAUGUUUACUUACCCAUUUAUUCAAUGUACCAAGCCGGAUGUAAUUUAUGCCUUAUGCAUAAUCAUUGAUUUUAGACAGAUCCAUGAUAGAAUUUUUUGAAAACUGUGAAAAAUAUUCUCAAAGUACUUGAGAAGUACUAGAGGAGCAG
rnacentral:lncRNA from 1 species